UUCUAAGCACAAACAUUAUGUCUUAACACGUUAAAACACCUAGAACAACAACUAGAAAAACAACGACAUUUAAAAUUACACUCAACGACAAGUAAAGGAAUCAUUGCGAUAUCGGUUGUGCCUUUUAUCGCCUAUCACAACGCGUAACGAGAAUUACUGCAAACCCGAUGGCCAGAAAAUCACGUGCGUACGCUGAUAUGGCGAUCCGCCGACCAUCCUUAACCGAAGCCGCCCUCUGCUUGAGCCUCCUCAGGCAUCGGUAUCACAGGGCAUUCAGCAGUUUUUUGCUGCCGGUACUCCUCAUCGUCGUCUCUGUCCCCUUCUUGGUCCAUGAAGUCUGCAUUGGGAGCAUUUUGGACCGCCUGCGCAUCCCCCCGCGGCCAGCCUUGCAGCGUUGGCCGAAUGUGUCCGACCUUACAAAAAGAUGCCGACCAUCAUAUAAGAAAUUCCGUUCCGCUGAGUGUAUCUGGAUCCAGCAAGUCGAAAAUCCCCCUGGCCAACCAUCGUCUGCCUGUUGCUACAGCAGGUGCCACCUCCAAAAAUCUGCGCGGUGUAGCGUGCUGGACGUAAAUAUACCGGUUCUCGGUAGAUCCCCGAAGUUAAGCAGCAUGCGUUGCACACGGUAGCUGGAUGGGUGACCGCCUGGAAAGCAUCCCUGCCGACUACAUAACUCUAGGCCAACUCGCUACUUGCUGGUUUUCACCUUUCCAGCAUGCGUGAUUAGAAUUAUGUGCCAGCACUGCUGCUCCCGCAAUCUCGCCUGCAUCUGUGGUCAACCUGAAAGGUUGAGCGAAAUCUGGGCACCUCAACAUCGUCGCCUCCGCCAGAGCUUGCAACAAAGUUCUUGGUCUAAUUCCAGCAGCCGGAACCCAUUAUUUGUCAUAUGUUCAUAGUCAAGCACAGAUAUUAAGUGUUGUGACGCUCUGUGGCCUGUUACUGACCUUAGAGGCGCCAUGACCAGGCGCCAAUAUCUACAGUCAAGAGCACCGUAUAUUUUACAGAAUUGGCAUUUAUUUUGGAAGCGUAAGACAAGCACUGUUUAACUUUAACGUUUGAUUUUCACGCCCUCAGCGCACGAUUUGUCUGAACCAACCACUGGCUGACGCGUAAAACUGGCAGCUAAAUGCACCCUCCCCCGAGCGAUCGGAGAGGCUGCAUUUGGGCUUCCUCUGAGAUGGUUUUCCGACCUCUGCCGAGCAACACCUAGCGUACAGCCACAGUAUUAAUUAAGCAUUUUUGUCAAAGUUUCGUCUGCGUUUUAAUAAUUAACGUAACGGUAAAUAUGGCCAAUAUCGCUAUAGCGUUGUAUUAAUUAAUUAGCAUUUGACAUAAUCAACACGAUUGAAAGCCUUUUUAUAAUUGUCAGAGUCACUUACGUUCCACAUUAUAAAACAUGCAGCAGUAAAACGGAAGUGAAUAAUUUCUAAUUUUCCAUUUGAUAAAUACAGAGAAUUCAAAGAUAAUAACAUAAUUAAUAAAA